rnacentral:sRNA from 1 species
UUAUACAAUAUUGGAGGUCUAUGAUCAUUCUUCUCUCUUUACGUCCUCGUUGAUCAGGUGAUUGUGGGGCUUUUAUAUGUAUAU